rnacentral:rRNA from 1 species
GGCUAACUACGUGCCAGCAGCCGCGGUAAUACGUAGGUGGCGAGCGUUAUCCGGAAUUAUUGGGCGUAAAGGGUGCGUAGGCGGCGAAUUAAGUUUGUGGUGAAAGCGUGGGGCUCAACCCCAUAAAGCCACAGAUACUGAUUUGCUAGAGUACUGGAAAGGGAAGUGGAAUUCCAUGUGUAGCGGUAAAAUGCGUAGAUAUAUGGAGGAACACCAGUGGCGAAGGCGGCUUCCUGGCCAGAGACUGACGCUGAGGCACGAAAGCGUGGGGAGCAAAUAGGAUUAGAUACCCUAGUAGUCCACGCCGUAAACGAUGAAUGCUAAGUGUUGGGGAGACUCAGUGCUGCAGUUAACGCAAUAAGCAUUCCGCCUGUGGAGUAUGCACGCAAGUGUGAAACAUAAAGGAAUUGACGGGGGCCCGCACAAGCGGUGGAGUAUGUGGUUUAAUUCGAAGCAACGCGAAGAACCUUACCAGGCCUUGACAUCCCUUGCAAGAGUAUAGAGAUAUACAGGAGGUUAUCAAGGUGACAGGUGGUGCAUGGUUGUCGUCAGCUCGUGUCGUGAGAUGUUGGGUUAAGUCCCGCAACGAGCGCAACCCUUGUCUUUAGUUACCAAUAUCAAGUUAGGGACUCUAGAGAGACUGCCGGUGAUAAACCGGAGGAAGGUGGGGAUGACGUCAAAUCAUCAUGCCCCUUAUGGCCUGGGCUACACACGUACUACAAUGGCUGUUACAACGAGAAGCGACAUAGUGAUAUGAAGCAAAUCUCUGAAAGGCAGUCUCAGUUCGGAUUGAAGUCUGCAACUCGACUUCAUGAAGUUGGAAUCGCUAGUAAUCGCGGAUCAGCAUGCCGCGGUGAAUACGUUCUCGGGCCUUGCACACACCGCCCGU